rnacentral:rRNA from 1 species
UGAGGAAUAUUGGUCAAUGGGCGUGAGCCUGAACCAGCCAAGUAGCGUGCAGGACGACGGCCCUAUGGGUUGUAAACUGCUUUUACAGAGGGGUAAAAUGAUCCACGUGUGGGUUAUUGCAAGUACUCUGUGAAUAAGGAUCGGCUAACUCCGUGCCAGCAGCCGCGGUAAUACGGAGGAUCCGAGCGUUAUCCGGAUUUAUUGGGUUUAAAGGGUGCGUAGGCUGAAGAUCAAGUCAGUUGUGAAAAACCGAUGCCCAACAUCGGUCGUGCAAUUGAAACUGGUCUACUAGAGUGUACUGGAGGCAGGUGGAAUUUGUGGUGUAGCGGUGAAAUGCAUAGAUAUCAUAAAGAACUCCGAUUGCGAAAGCAGCCUGCUACGGUAAGACUGACGCUGAGUCACGAAAGUGCGGGUAUCAAACA